rnacentral:rRNA from 1 species
UAUUACUGCCACACAACCCCAAAUGCACCCAAUCCUGUAUGAUACUGGAAGUUAAGAAGGGUCAGGCAUGGUCAGUAUCUGGAUGGAAGACUGUUAGAGAACACUGGGUACAAUUGUGU